UUGUUAAUGAGCUAGUCUAGGUCCACACUGGGUCUGAGUUGGGUCAGACCACGUUUUUUCCAGAUCUGCAGUUGCACUGAACUACAGGUCACUCUUCCUGUGUUAUCUCCUGAGAUGCUUUUGUUGUUGGAUAGGACCUGCAGUCAGACCAGAUGUCUGCCCCCAGCCAGCUGCUAUAGUCACAGUCGAACUGGCUGCAAGAUGGAAGACAGAAGCAUAAACUUGAAAAUGGGAACAGCCCGAAUACCAAAGUCACUGCUCAGAUGAGAGACACCCAAAAAGCCAGCAGAUCAGGAACAUUCAUACUUGAUUCUGAGAUUUGAAAAGAAAGCUAAAAGAACAUAUUCUGAAGGCUGGAAAUGUGGAACCUGCUGAUUUUAUAGAAGAAAAAUAAAAACAUUUAGAUAUCUGUCUGUUUACAUGUUUAAGGGAGUGCAUGUCAAAAUAAAAGUCAGUCCGGCUCUCAGAACUAUGUCUCUGUUUCUUUGGCUUCCUAAUAUUACUUAGAAAAAAAAAAAAUACUUCUUUUCUGGAAGUUAUAGGCCAAGAUGGAUUCUCUGAUGUUAUUGUUUGGUAUUGGUCUACAACUAGACAGCACCAUGAUGGUGCAAUGUGGUGUUAGCAGCCC